rnacentral:rRNA from 1 species
CGUGCUUAACACAUGCAAGUCGAACGAAGAGCGAUGGAAGCUUGCUUCUAUCAAUCUUAGUGGCGAACGGGUGAGUAACGCGUAAUCAACCUGCCCUUCAGAGGGGGACAACAGUUGGAAACGACUGCUAAUACCGCAUACGAUCUAAACUCGGCAUCGAGGAUAGAUGAAAGGUGGCCUCUACAUGUAAGCUAUCACUGAAGGAGGGGAUUGCGUCUGAUUAGCUAGUUGGAGGGGUAACGGCCCACCAAGGCGAUGAUCAGUAGCCGGUCUGAGAGGAUGAACGGCCACAUUGGGACUGAGACGCGGCCCAGACUCCUACGGGAGGCAGCAGUGGGGAAUCUUCCGCAAUGGACGAAAGUCUGACGGAGCAACGCCGCGUGAGUGAUGACGGCCUUCGGGUUGUAAAGCUCUGUUAAUCGGGACGAAAGGCCUUCUUGCGAAUAGUGAGAAGGAUUGACGGUACCGGAAUAGAAAGCCACGGCUAACUACGUGCCAGCAGCCGCGGUAAUACGUAGGUGGCAAGCGUUGUCCGGAAUUAUUGGGCGUAAAGCGCGCGCAGGCGGAUAGGUCAGUCUGUCUUAAAAGUUCGGGGCUUAACCCCGUGAUGGGAUGGAAACUGCCAAUCUAGAGUAUCGGAGAGGAAAGUGGAAUUCCUAGUGUAGCGGUGAAAUGCGUAGAUAUUAGGAAGAACACCAGUGGCGAAGGCGACUUUCUGGACGAAAACUGACGCUGAGGCGCGAAAGCCAGGGGAGCGAACGGGAUUAGAUACCCCGGUAGUCCUGGCCGUAAACGAUGGGUACUAGGUGUAGGAGGUAUCGACCCCUUCUGUGCCGGAGUUAACGCAAUAAGUACCCCGCCUGGGGAGUACGACCGCAAGGUUGAAACUCAAAGGAAUUGACGGGGGCCCGCACAAGCGGUGGAGUAUGUGGUUUAAUUCGACGCAACGCGAAGAACCUUACCAGGUCUUGACAUUGAUGGACAGAACUAGAGAUAGUUCCUCUUCUUCGGAAGCCAGAAAACAGGUGGUGCACGGUUGUCGUCAGCUCGUGUCGUGAGAUGUUGGGUUAAGUCCCGCAACGAGCGCAACCCCUAUCUUAUGUUGCCAGCACGUAAUGGUGGGAACUCAUGAGAGACUGCCGCAGACAAUGCGGAGGAAGGCGGGGAUGACGUCAAAUCAUCAUGCCCCUUAUGACCUGGGCUACACACGUACUACAAUGGGAGUUAAUAGACGGAAGCGAGAUCGCGAGAUGGAGCAAACCCGAGAAACACUCUCUCAGUUCGGAUCGUAGGCUGCAACUCGCCUACGUGAAGUCGGAAUCGCUAGUAAUCGCAGGUCAGCAUACUGCGGUGAAUACGUUCCCGGGCCUUGUACACACCGCCCGUCACACCACGAAAGUCGGAAGUGCCCAAAGCCGGUGGGGUAACCUUCGGGAGCCAGCCGUCUAAAGUAAAGUCGAUGAUUGGGGUGAAGUC